AGGCAAGCAGGUUACUGGGAGAUCCCUGUGGAUCACAGAGGUGGGCCAGAGUACAGGACACAAAGGGCUUGAAGAAAAUACACAAAAGACAGCUUUGAGAAGCACAGCACAUACUGCAGUUGCUGUGCUCUUCUGCCCACCAGUUUCUGAAGAGCUAACAGCAUAAUGGGAUGCUACAGUUAUGAAGAUACGGUGAAAGAGGAGGCAGACCUUUAUAGAUCUCUUCCUCAUUCCACUUCAGCCUAUUUUCUGCAAUGUUGCUCCAUGAUGCAAAAAGCCACUGACUAUCCCGAAGCUGCUUGUUAGCUCCACCUAAAAAUUUACUACUCGAGACUGCUGCCAGACCAUAAAUCCUCUGGUUCAGGUUCUACAUUCUUUUAAUAAGCUCUAAAACUUGAAAUCUCUGACACACUUAAGGAAGUCAACCAAAGCCAUGCAUCAAGUCAGCAUCAGAAUGAAAAAAUAAAAAAAAUUUGAAAUGAGAUGCUGUGAGGUUGGAGGCUGUUCAGAAAUGGGUUGCAAGAAUGAAAGGAAAUCUAUGCUACAGAACUGAAGACAAAAACUGCUGUGCUCCCCUGAGAAAGGUUGUAAGCUGACUUGACACACUGUAAACAGAGACAAGAAGAAGACUUUU